AUUGAACGCUGGCGGCAGGCCUAACACAUGCAAGUCGAGCGGAUGAAGGGAGCUUGCUCCUGGAUUCAGCGGCGGACGGGUGAGUAAUGCCUAGGAAUCUGCCUGGUAGUGGGGGAUAACGUCCGGAAACGGGCGCUAAUACCGCAUAGGUCCUGAGGGAGAAAGUGGGGGAUCUUCGGACCUCACGCUAUCAGAUGAGCCUAGGUCGGAUUAGCUAGUUGGUGGGGUAAAGGCCUACCAAGGCGACGAUCCGUAACUGGUCUGAGAGGAUGAUCAGUCACACUGGAACUGAGACACGGUCCAGACUCCUACGGGAGGCAGCAGUGGGGAAUAUUGGACAAUGGGCGAAAGCCUGAUCCAGCCAUGCCGCGUGUGUGAAGAAGGUCUUCGGAUUGUAAAGCACUUUAAGUUGGGAGGAAGGGCAGUAAGUUAAUACCUUGCUGUUUUGACGUUACCAACAGGAUAAGCACCGGCUAACUUCGUG
rnacentral:rRNA from 1 species